rnacentral:rRNA from 1 species
GACGAACGCUGGCGGCGUGCUUAACACAUGCAAGUCGAACGGUUGGCACUGGAAGGUUCGCUGGAAGGUGCCGAUAGUGGCGGACGGGUGAGUAACGCGUGAGGACAUGGCUCCAGGAGGGGGAUAACGUUUGGAAACGGACGCUAAGACCCCAUAUGCCGGAAGGUGAAACUGGGUAACCAGCCUGGAGAGUGACUCGCGUCCUAUCAGCUAGUUGGUGGGGUGAAGGCCUACCAAGGCGAUGACGGGUAGCCGACCUGAGAGGGUGGCCGGCCACACUGGGACUGAGACACGGCCCAGACUCCUACGGGUGGCUG